CAAUGGACGAAAGUCUGAUGGAGCAACGCCGCGUGAGUGAAGAAGGGUUUCGGCUCGUAAAGCUCUGUUGGUAGUGAAGAAAGAUAGAGGUAGUAACUGGCCUUUAUUUGACGGUAAUUACUUAGAAAGUCACGGCUAACUACGUGCC
rnacentral:rRNA from 1 species